GACCUGAUGGAUCACUCAGACCUCUACAUCCUUGACUUCAGUCCCAGUCUAAAGACGCUGUGCAAGCUAGCAGUGAUUCAGUACAGCCUGGACCAGUCUUGCCUUCCCCACGACAUCAGAUGGGAGCUCACGGCCAUGACGACAAACAGCACCAUCAGCCGCCCCAUAGUCUCCUCGCAGGGCUGAAGCUGCCUCGUGCCUCCGCCUGCUGCCCUCCCCUCUCCCCUCCACACCCUCGUGUCUUGUUCCACUGCCUGCAUGAAUUUUUAGCCCCUGAAGCAAGAAGCGUGCGUGAGCUCUGUUCGUCCUGCCCUCGACGGGCCUCCCUCUGUCCAUGGCGCAGCUCCA